rnacentral:rRNA from 1 species
AUGGAGUAUGAUCAGAAAAAAUAUUUCAUACUGAUGUUUGUUGGGUUGAAGCCUUUGUGCGAUGGGUUCUUGGCUGGCUGCAGACCUUACUUGGCGAUAGAUAGCACUCAUUUGACGGGCAAGUAUAGAGGCCAAUUAGCUACUGCUUGUGCUAUUGACGGUCACAAUUGGUUGUACCCUGUAGUCUAUGGAGUUAUCGACUCGGAAACUACUGAAAGUUGGGUGUCGUUUAUGGAGAAGCUUCGUGAAGCUAUUGGCUCUCCCCCCAGUCUAGCUAUAUGUUCAGAUGCAGGAAAAGGGAUUGACACUGCAAUCGAACAGGUAUUUGGGUAUGCUGAACAUAGAGAAUGCAUGCGACACUUGGUUGUGAACUUCAAGAAAAAAUUCCAUGGUAAAGUUUUUGAUGAUCAUUUGUGGCCAGCUGCUUAUUCAUGGACUCCUCGAGGGUUUGACUAUCACAUGGCAGCCAUAGAGGAGAAAAAGGCUGCUGCAAUAGCAUACUUAAACAAGUACCACACCAGGCUAUGGUUAAGGAGCAAAUAUUCAACCUCCUCAAAAGUGGAUUAUGUGACAAAUAAUUUGGCCGAGUGUUUCAACAACUGGAUCCACAACCACAAAGGUUUAAUGUUGUUUCAGCUCAUGGACAAGAUAAGGAGAAAGAUUACGGUUAAGUUUGAGAAGAGGAGAAGGCUAGCUAGAAAAUUUCAAGGUCGGCAUAUACUUCCAAGUGUCAUGAAGGAGUUGAAUGACAUAAGCAGGGGGCUGGACAUUGAAUAUGAGAGAAUAGAUGACAUGAUUGCAGAAGUGAGUGAGAGUGUUGCGCUAGGUGGCAAGCGCCACGUCACUGAUCUAGCAAACAGGACAUGCACAUGCAGGGCAUUUCAAGUCUCCGGGAAGCCUUGCAAACAUGCAAUUAGCUUUAUUACUGGAAUUAGGGGGGUCACAAUAGAAGACUUCGUUGAUGAUUGUUAUAGUGUUGCCAAGUUUGCUGCAGCUUAUGCUCCUAUUCUUCCUGGCCUAACCGACAUGUCUCAAUGGCCAAGUGUGAACAAAGAAUUCUUCUUGAACCCC